rnacentral:lncRNA from 1 species
CACUGGUGCUAAUUCAAGUGUCAUUCAGAUCAAAGGAACACAUUCUCUUAUUCGCUGAAACCCCAUAUCCCUGAAGUGUGGCUGCUGCUGGUGUCAGAAGCUGGUGGCUUUCAGACAGACAGGGAAGAGCCCAGGUGACCAGAGCUUUCCUGCAGGUAUUUCUACUGGGAAAGUCUUCUUUCACACUUCCCAUCCUCAAUGCAUUUCCUACUUUGGCAAAGAUUUUCUUCAUGAGGACUGCUUGUCAAGGUUGUCAGAGGAUUUCAGUGUCCUUUGAGUGAUCCUGUUCCCCUGGCUGAAGGAACACCACUUCCUCUCUUGAUAUCUCAUGCCCAGAAGUGGGGAUGGUCUCCCAGUAUGGAAUCACUCAGAUUUCCUCACUAUAUCUCAUUUGGUUUCCCAGUGCCUCAACGACCUGAGAAACCAGUUCCCUGAUUGCUAAACUUGCUGUCCCUUUUUGAGGUCAGAACAGCAACC